rnacentral:lncRNA from 1 species
AUGGAAGAGGAAAAUGCAACAUUGCUGACAGAGUUUGUUCUCACAGGACUUUUAUAUCAACCACAGUGGAAAAUACCCCUGUUCCUGACAUUCUUGGUAAUAUAUCUCAUCACCAUCAUGGGGAAUCUUGGUCUGAUUGCUGUCAUCUGGAAAGACCCUCACCUUCAGAUCCCAAUGUACUUACUCCUCGGGAAUUUAGCUUUUGUAGAUGCUUGGAUAUCAUCUACAGUGACUCCAAAGAUGCUGAAUAACUUCUUAGCUAAGAGUAAGAUGGUAUCUCUGCCUGAAAGCAAAAUACAGUUUUUUUCGUUUGCAAUCAGUGUAACCACUGAAUGUUUUCUCUUGGCAACAAUGGCAUAUGAUCGCUAUGUAGCCAUAUGCAAACCUUUACUUUAUCCAGCCAUUAUGACCAAUGGACUGUGCAUCCGGCUAUGUAGGUGGUCUUCUUCAUGCUUUAAUCCAUGAAGGAUUUUUAUUCAGACUAACCUUCUGUAACUCCAACGUAGUACACCACAUUUACUGUGACAUUAUCCCAUUGUCUAAGAUUUCUUGUACUGAUUCUUCUAUUAAUUUUCUAAUGGUUUUUAUUUUCUCAGGUUCAAUUCAAGUUUUCACCAUUGGGACUGGUCUUAUAUCUUAUACAUUUGUCCUCUUUACAAUCUUGAAAAAGAAAUCUGUCAAAGGUAUAAGAAAAGCCUUCUCCACCUGUGGAGCUCAUCUCUUAUCUGUAUCUUUAUACCAUGGGCCCCUCGACUUCAUGUAUAUGGGCUCUGCAUCCCCACAGGCUGAUGACGAAGACAUGAUGGAGUCUCUAUUUUACACUGUCAUAGUUCCUUUAUUAAAUCCCAUGACCUACAGCCUGAGAAACAAACAAGUAAUAGCUUCAUUCACAAAAAUGUUCAAAAGAAAUAAUAUUUAG